AACGAACGCUGGCGGCAUGCCUAACACAUGCAAGUCGAACGAGACCUUCGGGUCUAGUGGCGCACGGGUGCGUAACGCGUGGGAACCUGCCUUUAGGUUCGGAAUAACUCAGAGAAAUUUGAGCUAAUACCGGAUGAUGUCUUCGGACCAAAGAUUUAUCGCCUUUGGAUGGGCCCGCGUUGGAUUGGCUGGUUGGUGGGGUAAAGGCCUACCAAGGCGACGAUCCAUAGCUGGUCUGAGAGGAUGAUCAGCCACACUGGGACUGAGACACGGCCCAGACUCCUACGGGAGGCAGCAGUGGGGAAUAUUGGACAAUGGGCGAAAGCCUGAUCCAGCAAUGCCGCGUGAGUGAUGAAGGCCUUAGGGUUGUAAAGCUCUUUUACCCGAGAUGAUAAUGACAGUAUCGGGAGAAUAAGCUCCGGCUAACUCCGUG
rnacentral:rRNA from 1 species